AUUAAUAUCUCAAAAUUCAAAAAGUGAUUCAGAAGAUUGAGUGUUUUAGUGGAGAAAAAAUAGGCAUGAUAUUGGGGAAGUGUGUGUUAUAGGAGAGAGAAGGCUAUGUAUCUAAACUUCUACUAAAAUUUAAAAAAAAAAUUAUGUAAUAUUUAAAAAAAAGGGAAAAUUAGAGAAUGCUAAACCUAUAGUUGUGUAUUUAAGUUAUUUUUUCUUAUUAUUAUUAGUCAAUAUUACGGCCCAUUUAGAUAAACUAUUUUUUUGGGCCCUUCUUCCAUAUUCUAUAGCAAACCGAAGUUGAUUCACAAUUCAAAAACCCGAUCCCCCAGCCCAACCUUUUUUCUCCUUUACCCAAAUAACCAUUUUUGUUAGCCCAACAUUCCCAUUAAUUAUCCAUCAGAGCUGACCCACAUCCAUUUUUUCUUCCAAAGGAAAACAAAAGCGGUGAUAGCGUCAAACGCAGCAGCAGGGUGCGCGUGAACAGAAAGUGCCCCCUUACGGGUUUCUUCACGCGGCGCCAGUAGCGAAUCAACCCAGAACUCCAAUGCAUCACCUUUUUCCCUCUCCGCAAUACAAACAGUUCGUCGCCAGCAGAAAGAUGCGUCCUUCACAGGCCAGGUGAAGCAAUCUCCACGAUUGCUCGUCCUUGGCCCAAGAUCGAGCGGCUCUCGUUGAUGAACCGUUGAGAAAUUGUACAGUGUUGUACGAAUUCAAGUUGUCUCCAUCUUUUCUUUUUCUUUGGAGAGAAAUUUCAAUUUUUGGGGGAUAGAAUGUGAAUCCCGUCUUUGACCUUUUCUCGCCCAUUUCGAAAAUCCUAGCUCCCUUCUAUAUAAUAUUGCUUUGGUUCUUUGUUGAGGGGAUUUUUUUUGGUUUCGAAAAUUUUCUUUAGUAAAAAAAUUUUGCAGAAAGAAAUACAGAGGAAGUUUGAUAAAAAAAAAAGAGUUCUUUUUUACAAAAAAGUUCUUUGAGCUGACAAGUUCCUGAACUUUGAAAAAAAAAUUAGUUUGGAGAUAAAUAGCUUGAAAAUCGGGAGAAGGCACUAACCGUUAGUUAUAAAAAUUCCACAUAAAUACUUAGGCAAAGAUAAUGGGAGUUCAGUCGUAAUUUGGGUCUUUGUUCGUUUUCCUCGUUCAUUGAAAUUUCUUGGAAUCGUCGAAAGUCGUUGCCCCCCUUUGCUCGUGUCGUCCCAAGUUCGCUGCACUGCAAGAGUAUUUUGCUUCAAACAGUUGGUUGGAUCGUUAUGUUGAUCGAGUGCCACAGUCCCUGUUCAUGUUGUUGUUGUUGUCUUGAGCUACAAAUGUGCAUUUACUGUAAAUUUUAAAAGAUAAAGCUCAUAUUUUUAAUUUGUAGUGUUCGCAUCCAAAUUAUAGUUGUGUUUAAUACUCUUUUUCCUACUCCUUCCUUAAACGCUUAUGCUCAUUAUUCAUCUCUGCAGGUUGUCACACUUUCCUCUACUUUGUGUAUUUGUUUGCAUAUCUAGAAUUCAGGGCUGUGAUUUCUUUUAUGGUUUACAACUAUUCGUCAAUCCUUCUUAUAAUUAGAAGUUCUCCAUGUUCAGUCUAAAUGAGUAUACUUAGUAAUACGCAGUUUGCUUGCUAUUCGGGAGUCAGACGCCACUUUAAAAAAAUGGAUUUGACUUUACAUCAUAUACCUUGAAUGGGUCGGUGUCAUCUCUUUGGGUCGUAACCUACUUAAUAUGUUGUUAUUUAAUGGAAAAUAAACCUAUCUUCCUCUACUGCUUUGUAACUUUUGUGAAAUUGUUUUCCUUGAUUUCAGUUUUUUUUAAAGAAAAAAGAAAAAAAAUAAAUAAAUAAA